ensembl:misc_RNA
UAAUGAAUUGAUGAGAAAUGCAAUGAAGAUCAGAUGUCCAUCUCAAAACUGCUUUUACAAAAGCAGAAUUUUAAAAAGAUGAAAUGAAAAUGA